rnacentral:rRNA from 1 species
AGAGUUUGAUCCUGGCUCAGAGCGAACGCUGGCGGCAGGCCUAACACAUGCAAGUCGAGCGCCCGUAGCAAUACGGGAGCGGCAGACGGGAGAGUAACACGUGGGAACGCGCCCUUCGGUUCGGAAUAACUCAGGGAAACUUGAGCUAAUACCGGAUACGCCCUUACGGGGAAAGAUUUAUUGCCGAAGGAACGGCCCGCGUCCGAUUAGCUAGUUGGUGAGGUAAUGGCUCACCAAGGUGACGAUCGGUAGCUGGUCUGAGAGGAUGACCAGCCUCACUGGGACUGAGACACGGCCCAGACUCCUACGGGAGGCAGCAGUGGGGAAUAUUGGACAAUGGGCGCAAGCCUGAUCCAGCCAUGCCGCGUGGAUGAUGAAGGCCCUAGGGUUGUAAAGUCCUUUUAACGGGGAAGA